rnacentral:rRNA from 1 species
GACGUAGGGCGCGAGCGUUGUCCGGAUUUAUUGGGCGUAAAGAGCUCGUAGGCGGCUUGUCGCGUCGACCGUGAAAACUUGGGGCUCAACCCCAAGCCUGCGGUCGAUACGGGCAGGCUCGAGUUCGGUAGGGGAGACUGGAAUUCCUGGUGUAGCGGUGAAAUGCGCAGAUAUCAGGAGGAACACCGAUGGCGAAGGCAGGUCUCUGGGCCGACACUGACGCUGAUGCGCGAAAGCUAGGGGAGCGAACGGG